rnacentral:rRNA from 1 species
UGGGGAAUAUUGCACAAUGGGCGCAAGCCUGAUGCAGCCAUGCCGCGUGUAUGAAGAAGGCCUUCGGGUUGUAAAGUACUUUCAGCGGGGAGGAAGGCGAUAAGGUUAAUAACCUUGUCGAUUGACGUUACCCGCAGAAGAAGCACCGGCUAACUCCGUGCCAGCAGCCGCGGUAAUACGGAGGGUGCAAGCGUUAAUCGGAAUUACUGGGCGUAAAGCGCACGCAGGCGGUCUGUCAAGUCGGAUGUGAAAUCCCCGGGCUCAACCUGGGAACUGCAUUCGAAACUGGCAGGCUAGAGUCUUGUAGAGGGGGGUACAAUUCCAGGUGUAGCGGUGAAAUGCGUAGAGAUCUGGAGGAAUACCGGUGGCGAAGGCGGCCCCCUGGACAAAGACUGACGCUCAGGUGCGAAAGCGUGGGGAGCAAACA